ACACUGGUGGUGAAGUGGAAUCAUACUUGUGCAUCGCAGGGAUUUCAAGUGAAUCGUUCAGUCACAAGAGGCGAGGGUUCGAAUCCCUCUCAGUGUA